CUGAAGCAUAGAAGGGUUGUCGCUGCCUCGAAAGAGGAUGUGCACGCUCUUCAAUCUUCUCUUAACCACCUGUGCACUUUCCCUUAGACCGUUGAUACCUAUGACUGAAAAUGUCGAUGGAGAGUCUGCAGCUAACACCUGCUUUCUUUCAAUUUCACGGUCUAUGUUUUACACACUAUUUUAAAACCUUUGAAUGCUGUUAUAGAGGGUUGUCAUGACCCAAUAUAAUUAAAUA
rnacentral:misc_RNA from 1 species